rnacentral:rRNA from 1 species
AUACGUAUGGGGCAAGCGUUAUCCGGAAUUAUUGGGCGUAAAGAGUGCGUAGGUGGUUUUUUAAGCGUGGGGUUUAAGGCUACGGCUUAACCGUAGUUCGCCCCAUGAACUGGGAGACUUGAGUGCAGGAGAGGAAAGCGGAAUUCCUAGUGUAGCGGUGAAAUGCGUAGAUAUUAGGAGGAACACCGGUGGCGAAGGCGGCUUUCUGGACUGUAACUGACACUGAGGCACGAAAGCUUGGGGAGCAAACAGGAUUAGAUCCCCUGGUAGACCACGCCGUAAACGAUUAGCACUAGGUGUCGGGCUCGCAAGAGUUCGGUGCCGAAGUUAACGCAUUAAGUGCUCCGCCUGGGGAGUACGUACGCAAGGAUGAAACUCAAAUGAAUUGACGGGG